rnacentral:misc_RNA from 1 species
CAACUGCGAUACCUAUCACGACAUGCAGAUUCCCGGGAGCUGACAAGUCUUUGAAUGCACAUUGCACCCCACACUUUGUGGUGGGGUAUGCAUGGCAGAGUGUCUACCUUUUUUCAAAUACUAUGUAUGAUUGGGAACAAAGCAAUGAUCCAUUGUUCUUUGUUCCUCAAGACAUGUUCUUAUCAAUAGCUUGGGAGAGUGUUGCUCCCCAUGCAAGAACUGCCUCAAAUGACCUCUGCCAUCCAAGGUCACGUGCUGAACUUAA